rnacentral:rRNA from 1 species
CCUACGGGUGGCAGCAGUGAGGAAUAUUGGUCAAUGGACGAGAGUCUGAACCAGCCAAGUAGCGUGAAGGAUGACUGCCCUAUGGGUUGUAAACUUCUUUUAUAUGGGAAUAAAAUGUUCCACGUGUGGGAUUUUGUAUGUACCAUAUGAAUAAGGAUCGGCUAACUCCGUGCCAGCAGCCGCGGUAAUACGGAGGAUCCGAGCGUUAUCCGGAUUUAUUGGGUUUAAAGGGGGCGUAGGGGGGUUAUUAAGUCAGUGGUGAAAUUUGGCGGCUCAACCGUAAAAUUGCAGUUGAAACUGGGAGUCUUGAGUACAGUAGAGGUAGGCGGAAUGCGUGGUGUAGCGGUGAAAUGCUUAGAUAUCACGAAGAACUCCGAUUGCGAAGGCAGCUCACUGGACUGCAACUGACACUGAGGCACGAAAGUGUGGGUAUCAAACAGGAUUAGAUACCCUUGUAGUC